rnacentral:rRNA from 1 species
GACGAACGCUGGCGGCGUGCCUAAUACAUGCAAGUUGAGCGAUGAAGAUUGGUGCUUGCGCCAAUUUGAAGAGCAGCGAACGGGUGAGUAACGCGUGGGGAAUCUGCCUUUGAGCGGGGGACAACAUUUGGAAACGAAUGCUAAUACCGCAUAACAACUUUAAACAUAAGUUUUAAGUUUGAAAGAUGCAAUUGCAUCACUCAAAGAUGAUCCCGCGUUGUAUUAGCUAGUUGGUGAGGUAAAGGCUCACCAAGGCGAAGAUACAUAGCCGACCUGAGAGGGUGAUUCGGCACAUUGGGACUGGGACACGGCCCAAACCCCUUCGGGGAGGAGCAGGAGGGAAACUUUGGACAGGGACGGAAGUCUGACCGAGCAACGCCGCGGGAGUGAAGAAGGGUUUCGGAUCGUAAAACUCUGUUGGUAGAGAAGAACGUUGGUGAGAGUGGAAAGCUCAUCAAGUGACGGUAACUACACAGAAAGGGACGGCUAACUACGUG